rnacentral:miRNA from 8 species
GCUCUGACGAUGUUGCACUACU